GAAAAUACAAGAGUUUUUGUUAUUGACUUACUGCAUUCUGGCUGGUUGUGCAGGAGGCUCCACUGAUGCUUUUCAAAGAUUUCUGGUUGUCAGUCGUUGGUCCAUUUGCUAAUCAUAGAUUCGGUCAGUUGGUGAUCAGAUCUUUCAUCCCAAACCGUAGCUGAAGAUUUCCCCAGGCGUUUGAGCCGGACCCUUCCUGACGUUUUUCUCCUUGCAGCUUUUCCAGGAGCAUCAGAGAGAAGAAGAGCAGCUAUGAGGCCAAACUCAACRACUUCCUGGAGCUCAGCAACCAGUCGGCGGCUGAGAAGAUGAGUUUGGAGGAUGAAAUCAGGCGCCACCAGGCUCUGCUGACCUCUGCUGGCAGGAGGUCCUACACGGCUCAGAUGUCAGCGGCUGAAAGCAGCA